rnacentral:misc_RNA from 1 species
GUGUGAAUCAUCUCUAUGAUCUCUGCCAGGCGUUGAUGCUCUGUAGUAAGCUCCAACAAACCAGCUAAUUCAGCAGUUGCUCUGGACACCAGAAAAACUAAUGCUGGUCUUAACCUUUUUCCACCAGCACCGAAAAUUUGUUCUGCCGCAGAAACUAAAACUGGAUUUUCUGCACCAACAAGCGAUUUCAGAUUAUUGUUGAGUUUCAG